GGCAGCGGGAUUGAAGCUUGCUUCAAUUGCCGGCGACCGGCGCACGGGUGAGUAACGCGUAUCCAACCUUCCGCUUACUCGGGGAUAGCCUUUCGAAAGAAAGAUUAAUACCCGAUUGUAUCUUAAGCACGCAUGAGAUUAAGAUUAAAGAUUUAUCGGUAAGCGAUGGGGAUGCGUUCCAUUAGGCAGUUGGCGGGGUAACGGCCCACCAAACCUACGAUGGAUAGGGGUUCUGAGAGGAAGGUCCCCCACAUUGGAACUGAGACACGGUCCAAACUCCUACGGGAGGCAGCAGUGAGGAAUAUUGGUCAAUGGGCGAGAGCCUGAACCAGCCAANNGUAGCGUGAAGGAUGACGGCCCUACGGGUUGUAAACUUCUUUUGUGCGGGAAUAAAGGAGCCUACGUGUAGGCUUUUGCAUGUACCGUAACGAAUAAGCAUCGGCUAACUCCGUGCCAGCAGCCGCGGGGNUAAAUACGGAGGGAUGCGAGCGUUAUCCGGAUUUAUUGGGUUUAAAGGGAGCGUAGACGGGUUUUUAAGGUCCAGCUUGUGAAAGUUUGGGGCUCAA
rnacentral:rRNA from 1 species